rnacentral:misc_RNA from 1 species
AACUUGUAGCAAUGUAUCACUUGGCUCUCACAUCGAUUAAGAACGCAGCGAAAUGCGAUAAGUAAUGUGAAUUGCAGAAUUCAGUGAAUCGUCGAAUCUUUGAACGCACCUUGCACCCUUUGGCAUUCCGAAGGGUAUGCUCGUUUGAGUGUCAUUGUACUCUCACACUUCUGAUCCUUUGGAUCGGGAGUGGUGGACUUGGGUGCUGCUGCUUUACUGUGGCUCACCUCAAAUGCAUUAGUGCAACUCUUGGUUGGACAUAGUACGGCGUGAUAAGUAUCUUCGCCGGCACCUCGCAAGAGGGUGGCUGAUCAGGGGCUCUGUGCUUUCCAACUGUCUUCAGACAACAACUGACAACUUGACCUCAAAUCGAGUAGGACCACCCGCUGAACUUAAGCAUAUCAAUAAGCGGAGGCU